rnacentral:rRNA from 1 species
GACGAACGCUGACGGCGUGCCUAACACAUGCAAGUCAAGGGGUACUUCGGUAUCACUGGCGCACGGGUGAGUAACACGUAGGUUAUCUGCCUCUAUCCCUGACAUAACAUCGAGAAAUCGGUACUAAUAGCAGAUGAGGCCGAGAGGUCAAAGAGGCAACUCGGAUAGAGAUGAGCCUGCGUCUGAUUAGCUAGUUGGUAAGGUAAUGGCUUACCAAGGCUACGAUCAGUAGCUGGCCUGAGAGGGUGGCCAGCCACACUGGAACUGAGACACGGUCCAGACUCCUACGGGAGGCUG